AACUACUUAAUUCUCCGGACCAACCAAUAUAUAAAUCCAUCCGUAACAAAUGCAUUCAGCUCUAGCUGGCUGAUUUAGGGCUAAAUUUCAAGUUUUUACUUAUUUGGUCCCAAUUCAACCAGCGCGAGCUUGAAUGUUUGAAUGCUUCAAAAAUGUGCGGACAACCAACGUUGGAAAACUGUAAUGCUGCCAUCAACCCCCGGGACGUUGUCAUUGGCAUUUAAAUCGACUUUCACCAAUAAACAUCGACCAGCCAACCACACGAUGAUGCCGAACCCAUGCAAAACCAAAAAGGCUUCGCAACAACGCUAUCGCCCAUUAUAAUCAUAUUACCACGAUACCCGUCCCUCACACUGUAAGUUUAGCAAUGAAAUAUGCUGAUAGUAGUAGUGAUGAAUGUAAUGUAUGUAUGUACAUAUGUGCGUGUAUCCGAUAAGUUAGGCAGUAAAAUUACAUUUACCACAGCUAAAAA